rnacentral:rRNA from 1 species
CUUUCCUACGGGGGGCAGCAGUGAGGAAUAUUGGUCAAUGGGCGAGAGCCUGAACCAGCCAAGUCGCGUGAGGGAGUACUGCCCUAUGGGUUGUAAACCUCUUUUGUCAGGGAGCAACGCCGGCUACGUGUAGCCGGACUGAGAGUACCUGAAGAAAAAGCAUCGGCUAACUCCGUGCCAGCAGCCGCGGUAAUACGGAGGAUGCGAGCGUUAUCCGGAUUUAUUGGGUUUAAAGGGUGCGUAGGCGGAAUGCCAAGUCAGCGGUAAAAUCGCGGGGCUCAACCUCGCUACGCCGUUGAAACUGG